rnacentral:rRNA from 1 species
UGCAAGUCGAACGGAUGACAAGGAGCGUUGCUUCCUUGAAGUCAGUGGCGCACGAGUGAGUAACGCGUGGGAAACUGCCCUUCACUGGGGAAUAACGUUUGGAAACGAACGCUAAUACCGCAUACGCCCGCAAGGGGAAAGAUUUAUCGGUGAUGGAUGUGCCCGCGUUGGAUUAGCUAGUUGGUGGGGUAAUGGCCUACCAAGGCGAUGAUCCAUAGCUGGUCUGAGAGGACGAUCAGCCACGCUGGAACUGAGACACGGUCCAGACUCCUACGGGAGGCAGCAGCUAAGAAUAUUGGGCAAUGGAGGAAACUCUGACCCAGCCAAUGCCGCGUGAAUGAAGAAGGCCUUCGGGUUGUAAAGUUCUUUUUAGUCAUGAAGAUGAUGACAGUAGUGACAGAAAAGGCACCGGCUAACUUCGUGCCAGCAGCUGC